rnacentral:rRNA from 1 species
AUGCAAGUCGAGCGGUAAGGCCCUUUCGGGGGUACACGAGCGGCGAACGGGUGAGUAACACGUGGGUGACCUGCCCUCCACUCUGGGAUAAGCCCGGGAAACUGGGUCUAAUACCGGAUAGGACACAUGGAUGCAUGUCUGUGUGUGGAAAGUUUUUUCGGUGGGGGAUGGGCCCGCGGCCUAUCAGCUUGUUGGUGGGGUGAUGGCCUACCAAGGCGGUGACGGGUAGCCGGCCUGAGAGGGCGACCGGCCACACUGGGACUGAGACACGGCCCAAACUCCUACGGGAGGCAGCAGUGGGGAAUAUUGCGCAAUGGGCGGAAGCCUGACGCAGCGACGCCGCGUGGGGGAUGACGGCCUUCGGGUUGUAAACCUCUUUCGCCAGGGACGAAGAGCGAUUGACGGUACCUGGAGAAGAAGCACCGGCCAACUACGUGCCAGCAGCCGCGGUAACACGUAGGGUGCGAGCGUUGUCCGGAAUUAUUGGGCGUAAAGAGCUCGUAGGCGGUGUGUCGCGUCGGCCGUGAAAACUUGGGGCUUAACUCUGAGCGUGCGGUCGAUACGGGCAUCACUUGAGUUCGGCAGGGGAGACUGGAAUUCCUGGUGUAGCGGUGAAAUGCGCAGAUAUCAGGAGGAACACCGGUGGCGAAGGCGGGUCUCUGGGCCGAUACUGACGCUGAGGAGCGAAAGCGUGGGGAGCGAACAGGAUUAGAUACCCUGGUAGUCCACGCCGUAAACGUUGGGCGCUAGGUGUGGGGACCAUUCCACGGUUUCUGUGCCGCAGCUAACGCAUUA